GCCCCUGUAGUUUAGCUUGGAUAGAAUACAAGGUUGCGGACCUUGAGAUCCCAGGUUCAAAUCCUGGCAGGGGCA
rnacentral:tRNA from 1 species